GUAAGCGCAGCGAUGCGUUGAGCUAACCGGUACUAAUGAACCGUGAGGCUUAACCUUACAACGCCGAAGGUGUUU
rnacentral:rRNA from 2 species